UCCUCGUUUUUACGAGGCAGUCUGUCCAGAGUGCUUCCCGCUCUCGCGGGAGUGGCAACAGGACACAAGGGUUGCGCUCGUUGCGGGACUUAACCCAACAUCUCACGACACGAGCUGACGACGGCCAUGCAGCACCUGUGUCCAGGUUCUCUUUCGAGCACUCUCGCAUCUCUGCGGGAUUCCUGGCAUGUCAAGGGUAGGUAAGGUUUUUCGCGUUGCAUCGAAUUAAACCACAUCAUCCACCGCUUGUGCGGGUCCCCGUCAAUUCCUUUGAGUUUUAGCCUUGCGGCCGUACUCCCCAGGCGGGGUGCUUAAUGCGUUAGCGACGGCACGGAAAGGGUUGAUGCCUCCCACACCUAGCACCCAACGUUUACGGCUGGGACUAC
rnacentral:misc_RNA from 1 species